rnacentral:tRNA from 1 species
GCGGGUGUGGUGUAACGGUAGCACAAUAGCCUUCCAAGCUCUUAGAGGGGGUUCGAGUCCCCUCACCCGCU